GAUGAACGCUGGCGGCGUGCCUAAUACAUGCAAGUCGAGCGAACAGACGAGGAGCUUGCUCCUCUAACGUUAGCGGCGGACGGGUGAGUAACACGUGGAUAACCUACCUAUAAGACUGGGAUAACUUCGGGAAACCGGAGCUAAUACCGGAUAAUAUAUUGAACCGCAUGGUUCAAUAGUGAAAGACGGUUUUGCUGUCACUUAUAGAUGGAUCCGCGCCGCAUUAGCUAGUUGGUAAGGUAACAGCUUACCAAGGCAACGAUGCGUAGCCGACCUGAGAGGGUGAUCGGCCACACUGGAACUGAGACACGGUCCAGACUCCUACGGGAGGCAGCAGUAGGGAAUCUUCCGCAAUGGGCGAAAGCCUGACGGAGCAACGCCGCGUGAGUGAUGAAGGUCUUCGGAUCGUAAAACUCUGUUAUUAGGGAAGAACAAAUGUGUAAGUAACUAUGCACGUCUUGACGGUACCUAAUCAGAAAGCCACGGCUAACUACAUG
rnacentral:rRNA from 1 species